rnacentral:rRNA from 1 species
GCUCGGGCAGGCUGUCGGCCUCGGUCGGACGGCAGGCUCGGGCCUUUCUGCCUGGGGACUCCGUCACACUUAACUGUGGGGCGGUUGGACGCAGGCCGUUUACUUUGAAAAAAUUAGAGUGUUCAAAGCAGGCCUACGCUUGAAUACAUUAGCAUGGAAUAAUGGAAUAGGACUUUGGUGCUAUUUUGUUGGUUUAUGGGACCGAAGUAAUGAUUAACAGGGACAGUUGGGGCCGUUUAUAUUUCGUUGUCAGAGGUGAAAUUCUUGGAUUUACGAAAGAUAAACUUCUGCGAAAGCAUUCGGCAAGGAUGUUUUCAUUGAUCAAGAACGAAAGUUAGGGGAUCGAAGACGAUCAGAUACCGUCGUAGUCUUAACCAUAAACUAUGCCGACUAGGGAUCAGUGGAUGUCAAUUUGCGACUCCAUUGGCACCUUGUGAGAAAUCAAAGUUUUUGGGUUCCGGGGGGAGUAUGGUCGCAAGGCUGAAACUUAAAGGAAUUGACGGAAGGGCACCACCAGGAGUGGAGCCUGCGGCUUAAUUUGACUCAACACGGGGAAACUUACCAGGUCCAGACAUAGUAAGGAUU